rnacentral:rRNA from 1 species
UAAUUAAGUUGUUGCAGUUAAAACGCUCGUAGUCGCAGUCAGUGUCCCGCUGCGCCCAGUACUUCCUGUCGUGGCGGAUCUUCUUUGCAUUUCGUCGCGGCAGGCGGGAACGGUUGCGGUUGGUCUACUCAAAGGCUUGCAUCGCGGCAGAACAGGUUUCGAUAUCUGGCUGCCGCGGGCGAGCAUUUUCCUUUGAGAAAAACUGAGUGCUCGACGCAGGCCGUCACGGCCCUGAAAGUUGCAGCAAAGAAUAACGGAACAAGGGUCUCUUUGUGCCGUUGGUUCAACCUGUACCAAUGAUUAAUAGGGGCGAUCGGGGCUGGUCACAUGGCUGGGGUAG